UUUGGGUUUUACAUCUGUGUUUAUUGUGUAGAGAGAGAAGAAGGAAGAACGAUGAAGGAAGAAGAGAAGAAGAGAGAAGAAGGAAGAGAAGAAAAUAGGGCUCGGCUCAUAGCCAUUAGGGUUUACAGAGAUAAGAAGGAAGAAGAAAAUGGAUUUCACAAACCCUAAUGGAAGGGGCCCUAAGUGAUUUUUGGAGAGAGAAAGAAGAACCCUAAUGAAAGAUAUCCUAACUGAUUUUUAGAGAGAGAAAAUGAAGAUGUUUGAGGAGGGCUUUUCAUUUUCUCGAGGGAAUAGAGCUAAAGGAUUAAGUUUG
rnacentral:lncRNA from 1 species